ensembl:snRNA U6 U6 spliceosomal RNA
GUGCUCACUUCGGCAGCACAUAUUCUAAAAUUGGAACGAUACAGAGAAGAUUAGCAUGGCCCCUGUAAGGAUGACACUCAAAUUGGUGAAGGGUUCCGUAUUUAA